ACUUACAACAAUUGGUCUCUUCUAGCUGUUCGGGGCAAUCAGGAAAGCCAUCGCAGAUCAUGGAAUACUUGAUACAUAUCUUACUUCCUGGAACAUCCCAGAGACCUCUCUCCGUGCAACCUUCCAGGGUGCCCAAAUAUGGUCCAUGCAGUCAGGUUGUUACAUACCACAGUUUGCUUCAUCACUGUCAUCUUCGCAGUCCGCCUCUCCAUCACAUCUCCUGGAUGCCAAGAUACAGCGGCCAGAGAGGCACUUGAAAUGACUGGGUGAACAUUCUGUAGGAACAGAAGAUAAGAUUAAAUCACAAGGAGCAUUGCUAUUUUUGAAACAUUCCAGCUGUGUCACUGUAGCAACUCAAUUUCCCUGUUUACACUACUUAUUAAAGUUUAGCAUAUAAGGAUAAUAAAUAUGAUUUAGGAAGUUGA